CCUACGGGUGGCAGCAGUCGAGAAUCAUUCACAAUGGGGGAAACCCUGAUGGUGCGACGCCGCGUGGGGGAAUGAAGGUCUUCGGAUUGUAAACCCCUGUCAUGUGGGAGCAAAUUAAAAAGAUAGUACCACAAGAGGAAGAGACGGCUAACUCUGUGCCAGCAGCCGCGGUAAUACAGAGGUCUCAAGCGUUGUUCGGAAUCACUGGGCGUAAAGCGUGCGUAGGCUGUUUCGUAAGUCGUGUGUGAAAGGCGCGGGCUCAACCCGCGGACGGCACAUGAUACUGCGAGACUAGAGUGAUGGAGGGGGAACCGGAAUUCUCGGUGGAGCAGUGAAAUGCGUAGAUAUCGAGAGGAAGACUCGUGGCGAAGGCGGGUUCCUGGACAUUAACUGACGCUGAGGCACGAAGGACAGGGGAGCGAAAGGGAUUAGAUACCCGGGUAGUC
rnacentral:rRNA from 1 species